rnacentral:rRNA from 1 species
AAGUCGUAACAAGGUUUCCGUAGGUGAACCUGCGGAAGGAUCAUUACCGAAUUGUCAACACGAGUUGUUGCUGGUCCUCAAAUGGGGGCAUGUGCACGCUCUGUUUGCACAUCCACUCACACCUGUGCACCCUCCGUAGUUCUGCAGCCUGGGGGCUCUGUCCCCCUGCUGUGGUUCUAUGUAUUUACACACACACACUGUAAUAAAGUCUCAUGGAAUGUAUGCCGCGUUUAACGCAAUACAAUACAACUUUCAGCAACGGAUCUCUUGGCUCUCGCAUCGAUGAAGAACGCAGCGAAAUGCGAUAAGUAAUGUGAAUUGCAGAAUUCAGUGAAUCAUCGAAUCUUUGAACGCACCUUGCACCCUUUGGCUAUUCCGAAGGGUAUGCCUGUUUGAGUAUCAUGAACACCUCAACUCUCAUGGUUUGCCAUGAUGAGCUUGGACUUUGGGGGUCUUGCUGGCCUGUGGUCAGCUCCUCUCAAAUGGAUUAGCUUGCCAGUGUUUGGUGGCAUCACAGGUGUGAUAACUAUCUACGCUUGUGGUUUUCCACCAGGUAACCUUCAGCAAUGGGGGUUCGCUGGGGCUCAUAAAUGUCUCUCCUCAGUGAGGAC